ACCUGGCCUCUUGGUCAAAUUAUAUUUUGAUCGGAUCACUUGACUAUUCGAGCUGACCCAUGUCAGCUAGAUAAAUCAGUGUGACUGAUUUAGGUGCUCCUAGACCAGCCCUUUUAAUGAUCUCCCUUAAGCUGACUUGGUGAAGCCAGUGAGAGGAUCAUGAUAAGCUGGUUCAUCUGACCUCAUCCUCUAAAUCAUUUAAAUCCUCUAAAAUUAUUAGGUCCUUAAAAUGAUAAAGUUAUGGAGAUAACUGAGUCAUAGCCUCUCAUUAAGGUGUUUGAUAAUGAGUCCAUUAACUCAAUAAUCAUUGCAGACCCAAAGGCCUGGUGCUUGUUGACUAAUGAAAUUAUCACUCAUCAUAUGACGACUUGGAAGUGUCUCUCUAAUGGUGGUUAGGUGAGCCAACCAAAGUUGGGCUUAAUCAUUCAUUGGUUAG
rnacentral:lncRNA from 1 species